rnacentral:lncRNA from 10 species
CUGUCCUGGCAUAAAACUCUUAGAAAAACAACAACAGAAGGGGUAUAGAGGGUGUGAUAAACAGAUCAGUGGGAGGACAUUCGGACGCAGAGCAGCAGAAAUUAAAGCCAGCUUGACAGUCCAUUUUUAACUCAGUUCAGGCAGCUGCACUGCCUGAAGGUCAGGCGAGCCAAGGAAGGAGAUGCUGAUAGACUGGUCUUUGAAGGCCAGUUUCCACUUCUACUUCAAUAAACAGAAAAGUGGAAAAUAAACAAGCCCAUUUAAGCCAAUUAAAAAGCGGUUUCAGUGGCUAGGGUGUUCAGGACCAAUGGAUGGGCCCAUGGUCAGGAGUUGGAUGCCAGCCGCCUGACAGUCAGUCCCUGGGCAGGCCACAGAGCCUCUUGUCCUUGUCUGGGCAGCAUUACUAAUGAGGCUGCCACUUAACCUGCCUCCAAGGAGGAUUUUUAGAAUUAAUAUAAUGAGUGGUCUGAACCAAUACUAGCGAAAUAAAGAAAUUACUCGUUUCAAUUUCCUUAGGGUAUUUAGGCAUAAUUCAUAGAGUAAAUGCCCCCAUAGGGCCAGAAAGAUUAUUGGAACUUACAGAAAGUAGUAGUUGCUCUUGGCCCACCUGACUAAAUGAAAUUUUGCAAAGCCCUUUGGGAUUUGACUUCAGAAAACAAUUUACUUAUGUACAAAAGACUUCAAAUAAUAUCUUCUUGGCUGAAUGGGCCUUGCUCUCAGGACAUACAGGGCAUAAGGAAUGAUUGAGGUAAAACACAUACCUGGAAUAAUUAAGAAUGUCCUUUUUUAUCUACUUAAAAGCGUAGAAAAUCCAUUCUAUCACCAGUUUGCAUCUUCACAAGGUUAAACAGAACUGAUUUUUUAAAAAUUUGAAGCAUAGAGAAGAAUUAGGAAAAACUAAGUGCCAUUAUAGGCUAAGUGCAAGGUGACACAGUCUAUCAGAUUUCAGAAAAAUGUGGAUACAGUCAAUUAUUUAUAACUGAAAGUUCGCAUUGGGGAACUUCAGGUGUUUAUUAAGUGCAGUGAUAAAGAAGUUUGUUUUAUUGCUCUUUCAUUAUAUCCUCUAACUAAUACUAUAUAAACAGUUUGUGGGAGUGCUUACUGGAAAUAGUUGUGUAUGAAUAGAAAAUCUAGUCAGUUAAAUAAUUUGAUUUCCUUUCAUACACCAAUGUAUUAUAAGAAACUAUCUAAAUCAUAGGCAAAGGCUUUAACUUAAGCAUGCUUGCUUUUUUAUUACUAUAAUUCACUAAUCCAUCUUCUUACAGAAAGAAAAUGAGAUAGCAGUAACAACUGGCAACCAUAUGUUCAUCUGAUGUAUUUGCAAAUAUUUAAGUUCUAGGCUUCCUCAGGUAUAAAUAUAGUAUUCAUAAUGUCAUUGCUUAUGUAAAGUAUAAAUUCACAAUGCCAGGGAUACUGAAAAAACAAAAAGCAAAAAUGAUGCUUUCAUGUAUUAUUACAGGAAAUGUUGGUGUCUUUUGCAUUUGUGAUUUGGAGUGUUGAAUGUUCAUUACGUGUUUCACUAGCCAAUUUUCUGUCUUUAUUUGGUAUGAACACUUAUUUUUGAAUCUUAUUAAUACAUUUACGUUCCACACAUAGCUUAUUUUAUUUCAUAAACUAUGACACCUGAGGGAAAGUUACUGAGUUUCUUAAUCUGUGCAAUUCAGGGAAAACUUACAGGACAUGGAAAUUGAUCUAUACAUUAGCAGUAAGCUCAUGGGGUUAUUGUAAGGAUUAAAAGAGAAACCCUUAAAAUCAAUGCUAAAUAUUAUCUCUUUUUUAUAAACAAAUAUGAGAUCUUUAAAUGCACACUGCCUCUAGAUUCCCUUAGUUGUGCUAAGUUUGUAAAUUUGGUGUCUCAUGCAAAGUGCUUAGAACCAAACUAAUACUGAUAUUAGGCAAGAACUUAAUGAGUGAUAUUAUUAUUAUUGCUGUUAUUAUGUUCUGAAAUUGUAGUUAUCUGGGUCAGUGCAACAAGCAAGUGGCUAAAUGGAGUUGGGGAAGUGUUGUUAAAGUAUAAGAAAAUUUAUGAUCUUUCCUGUUUGCAGGAAAUCUGGAAAGUAUUGGCACUGAUUAGGAAAGCCUUUUUUAUUAUAAUACAUCCAUCACUGUAUGGGAAAGCAGGAAAGGAUCUGCCAAUGAAACGAAAUAGUUUUCUGGAAAUAAAUAACAUCUACAGACAAUUGAAACUAUUGACUAUAGAAUGACGCAGUUGUUUCAAGGUAUGUGUGAUCAUCUGUUAACAUACUCGGUGAGAUAUUUAAUCAUAAUUUUUAUUUGCCUUUGAGGGUGCAUCACCCAAUACAAUUUCCAUUUAAUUAUUAAAUAUUCAAUAUGACUUAUUCUGUUAAGUAAGGUAACAUGGAAACUUAUCUCGUAUAAGACAAAAAGCAGGCCCAAUACAUAAAAUAAUACAUAAUGCUUGCUAUUAAAAGCUGAGAGAAUCUUCCAAUAACACAAGGGUUUGCCUCUCUUUUUAAGCAGAGAAAUGGUUACCAUAGCAACUUGUCUCUUAAUAUAGUUAUAUGAUUUUGUUCUCUUCAUAAACAAUGCUGUGUAUUAUCAGUCUUUAAAUAGAGAUAAUAUGUUUAAAUGCAUACAAUAUCUGCUUUUCCUUAAUUAUGGAAAAAUGUAUAAUUCAGGUGACCAUAUCAGAGGAUGUCAGCCAGGAACAUGGAGUGGGUCCUUGACAUUUGUCUAGCGAUACAUCUUAAAACUUUUACAAGUUCCAAAUUUGAGAAUACCACUAUGCCAUACCAUUUUUUCUGGAAUUUUAAUGUGCACCAGGAGAUGAGGAAAAUAAAGCUACAUGCUCAUGUCAAUGUUGGGUUCCUUACUGGUUUCCCUUCCUGUAUCAACCAAGUGUCCUAUUUUGGUGGGCCAGCCUUGCACAGCUUUUGUCAUUGACAUUUGUAUCCUAGCAAAAUUACACAUUACUUCAUGACAUAAACCUGUGGGGUUGCUUAAGAAGAGAAUUAAAUCUGAGAAUGCCUGAGUGUCGACUAGAUAUGGAAUUCUGCAGGGUACUUUUUAGAAUGGGAUCUGAUCUCCAUUCUGCAGAUUUAAAGCACAUUAAGGUUAAGAAAUUUGACUAGUCCAGAAUGAUUCAGUUUUUUCAUCUUCAUGGUGUAGUAGUUAGUGCAUGAACUGUGCAGCCUAACUCCUAGCAGUGACAUUUACUAGCUGUGUAACUUGGAUUAGGUACUUAACAUUUCUGUGCCUCUAUUUUCACCUUUAAAAUGGGAAUUACGGAGAAGGAAGUGAGAGGGAGAGAUGUGUUAAAGCAGCAGUCCCCAACCUUUUUGGCACCAGGGACUUGUUUGUGGAAGAGAAUUUUUCCUCAGUUGAGGAUGCAGAUGUUUUGGGGAUGAAACUGUUCCACUUCAGAUCAACAGGCAUUAGUUACAUUCUCAUGAGGAAUGGGUAACCUAGAUCCCUCACAGGCAGUUCACAAAGGGUUCAUGCUCCUAUGAGAAUCUAAUGUUGCAGCUGAGGCAGAACUCAGGUGGGAAUGCAGGCAAUGGGUAGCAGCUGUAAAUACAGAUGAAGCUUUGUUCCUUGCCCACCCACUGCUCCCUUCCUGCUUUGCACCCAGUUUCUAACAGGCCAUGGACUGGUACUGGUCUGUCCGGAAUUGGUGGGUUCUUGGUCUCCCUGACUUCAAGAAUGAAGCCGCGGACCCUCGCAGUGAGUGUUACAGCUCUUAAGGUGGUGUGUCUGGAGUUUGUUCCUUCUGAUGUUCGGAUGUCGGAGUUUCUUCCUUCUGGUGGGUUCGUGGUCUCGCUGGCUCAGGAAUGAAGCAGCAGACCUUCGAAGUGAGUGUUACAGCUCUUAAGGUGGCGUGUCUGGAGUUUGUUCCUUCUGAUGUUCGGAUGUCGGAGUUUCUUCCUUCUGGUGGGUUCGUGGUCUCGCUGGCUCAGGAAUGAAGCCGCAGACCUUCGAAGUGAGUGUUACAGCUCUUAAGGUGGCGUGUCUGGUGUUUGUUCCUUCUGAUGUUCGGAUAUGUUCGGAGUUUCUUCCUUCUGGUGUGUUCGUGGUCUCGCUGGCUCAGGAAUGAAGCCGCGGACCUUUGCGGUGAAUGUUACAGCUCUUAAGGCGGCGCGCCUGGAGUUGUUAAUUCCUCCCGGUGGGCUCCUGGUCUUGCUGGCUUCAGGAGUGAAGCUGCAGACUUUCGCGGUGAGUGUUACAGCUCAUAAAAGCAGUGGACCCAAAGAGUGAGCAGCAGCAAGAGUUAUUGCAAAGAGUAAAAGAACAACGCUUCCACAGUGUGGAAGGUGACCCGAGCGGGUUACCACUGCUGGCUGGGGCAGCCUGCUUUUAUUCUCUUAUCUGGCCCCACCCACAUCCUGCUGAUUGGUAGAGUCUAGUGGUCUGUUUUGACAGGGUGCUGAUUGGUGCGUUUACAAUCCCUGAGCUAGACACAAAGGUUCUCCACCUCCCCACCAGAUUAGCUAGACACAGAGUGUCCACACAAAGGUUCUCCAAGGCCCCACCAGAAUAGCUAGAUACAGAGUGUCAAUUGGUGUAUUCACAAACCCUGAGCUAGACACAGGGUGCUGAUUGGUGUAUUUACAAACCUUGAGCUAGAUACAGAGUGCCCAUUGGUGUAUUUACAAUCCCUGAGCUAGACAUAAAGGUUCUCCAUGUCCCCAUCAGAUUCAGGAGGCCAGCUGGCUUCACCCAGUGGAUCCCGAACCAGGGCUGCAGGUGGAGCUGCCUGCCAGUCCCGCACCGUGCGCCCACACUCCUCAGCCCUUGGGUGGUCGAUAGGACUGGGCGCCGUGGAGCAGGGGGCGGCGCUCAUCGGCGAGGCUCGGGCUGCACAGGAGCCCAUGGAGGGGGUGGGAGGCAGAGGCAUGGCCGGCUGCAGGUCCUGAGCCCUGCUCCGCGGGAAGGCAGCUAAGGCCUGGUGAGAAAUCGAGUGCAGUGCCGGUGGGCUGGCACUGCUGGGGGACCCAGUACACCCUCUGCAGCCGCUGGCCCGGGUGCUAAGCCCCUCAUUGCCCGGAGCCGGCAGGGCCGGCCGGCUGCUCCUAGUGCCGGGCCGGCCAAGCCCACGCCCACCCGGAACUCCAGCUGGCCCCCAAGCGCAGUGCGCAGUCCCGGUUCCCGCUCGCGCCUCUCCCUCCACACCUCCCUGCAAGCUGAGGGAGCUGGCUCGGGCCUUGGCCAGCCCAGAAAAGGGCUCCC